rnacentral:rRNA from 1 species
UUUUUCUUUUCCGUGAGGGUGUGCCUGCGGAAAGGAU